rnacentral:rRNA from 1 species
UACAGAGGUCUCAAGCGUUGUUCGGAUUCAUUGGGCGUAAAGGGUGCGUAGGCGGCGCGGUAAGUCGGGUGUGAAAUCUCGGAGCUUAACUCCGAAACUGCAUUCGAUACUGCCGUGCUCGAGGACUGGAGAGGAGACUGGAAUUUACGGUGUAGCGGUGAAAUGCGUAGAUAUCUGGAGGAACACCGGUGGCGAAGGCGGCAUCCUGGGCCAACACUGACGCUGAGUGAGCGAAAGCCAGGGGAGCAAACGGG